rnacentral:tRNA from 1 species
AGGGGUGUAGCUCAAUUGGCUAGAGCGCCGGUCUCCAAAACCGGAGGUUGCGGGUUCGAUACCCUCCACCCCUG